CAGCAGCCGCGGUAAUACGAGGGGGGCAAGCGUUGUUCGGAAUUAUUGGGCGUAAAGGGCGCGUAGGCGGUUUGGCAAGUUUGGUGUGAAAUCUUCGGGCUCAACUCGAAGUCUGCAUCGAAAACUGCCGGGCUUGAGUAUGGGAGAGGUGAGUGGAAUUUCCGGUGUAGCGGUGAAAUGCGUAGAUAUCGGAAGGAACACCUGUGGCGAAAGCGGCUCACUGGACCAUAACUGACGCUGAGGCGCGAAAGCUAGGGGAGCAAACAGGAUUAGAUACCCCUGUAGUCCCUGUCUCUUAUAC
rnacentral:rRNA from 1 species